CUCUUCUAUGAUCAUAUUGGGACGCCCAGUGUUGACAAUGAAAACCCUUUUCUUCCCAAAGAAGCAAACCUACCUCUAGAGAGAGAGAGGGAGGGAGAAAACAAUCCUAGAAGAGUGAAACUCCCCCUUUUAAAGCCUUGGAGCGAGUUUCCCGCCUGAAUGGACUCCUGGCCCUUAGCUCAAAGGCAUCGGCUCCUUUAUCUGGGAAUGAGAGAGAGGCAUUGAAACUGUAAAAGCCGCAGUCUCCCCAAUGACUGGCUCCAAAGGCAGACUGCUCCUGGACAUGGACAUGCUCCUGGACAUGUAUAUAUCAUCUGUAAUAAAAUGGAAAUUAAGAGACCCAUUCCUUGACUUUGGGACUGAAGAGGCUACCUGGGACAAUUGUGCAAGCUCCUGUUGAUCCAUGGAAAUCCAGGUCUGUCUUUGUACAAGUGUGUAACUAGUUCAUUUUCUGCAUGUUUCUGUUAUUUGUUUGUCAUAAGUGGACAUACUUGCAAAGUAUAUAAUUUUUUUGUGACAUCCGUUAAAAGGUUAGGCCCAUAGAAAGCAAAAGAGUGGCAUAUUUACAAGUUCCAUUUGUAUUCAAUCUAAAUAAAGGAAAAACAGGAUAAUUAAAGAAAGAGUGAAUAUGAAGCCUUUACUCCAAAGGUGAAAAAAUAGAAGAGAUUUUAAAAAAUGGAGGUUUACUUGAUACAAACUCAGGACAGGAAAAGGAAAUUAGUUUGCAAGGGAUUCUCAGUAUGAAAAUGCACAAAAUCCGAUUGUUUUAAGAUGGUUUCUUGUAUUCAAGCCUUUGAUUGUACACAGUGUUUAAAGUACAAUUCAAAGAGGAAUGAUAAAGUGCCAAAGGGAAGAGGUUUCCCUGAUAUGAGGUGAGGGCUGGCAUUGGAGUCAAUGCCGUUUUAGUAGGUGGAAGUAGAGUGCAUCUACACCAGGCAUGGGCAAACUUUGGCCCUCCAGGUGUUUUGGACUUCAGCUCCCAUAAUUCCUAACAGCCAGUAUGCUGUUAGGAAUUGUGGGAGUUGAAGUCCAAAACACAUGGAGGACCAAAGUUUGCCCAUGUUUAAUCUACGCUGUAGAAUUAAUGCAGUUUGUCACCGCUUUAACUCUAUGGCUAAAUGCUAAGAAAUACUUGGAGUUGUAGUCUUACAAGGUCUUUAGCCUUCUCUGCCUAAGAAUGGUGGUCUCUCACUAAACUACAAAUCCAGGAAUUCCAUUGCAUUGAGCCAUGGCAGUUAAAGUGAUGUCAGACCACAUUAAUUUUACAGUGUAGAUGUAUCCAUAGACAGCAAAGCUCCUUGGGUCUGCCCUGGGCCAAGGUUGGGCUAUUGAAGAGCAAAUGAAAACCGGAUGAUGACGACGACAAUAAGGAUGAUGAUGAUGUUGUUAAAGGGCAAGUGUGGCAGAGAAUGCAAGUAAAGUAAAAAGCUAGUUGUUGUUUGAGCAUUCCUGUUUCUGAGUAGCUGGGAGGGAGGGAAAUCAAUGUUUCCAGAAAUGUGGGAGGGGAGGAAACGCCUUCGCUCUGCCUCCCUCUGUCUUGCAGCGCCAAUUGAAAGCCUGAAAGAAAGGAGGAAAGGAAGUAGCCAGGCGUAGGCAUGCAAAUGUGCACACACCAAGGCAUGACGGGAAUAAAAAUGGGCUGCAGAUCAAGCAUUGUGUGACACCCUAAAACACAGUCCAGAAAAGUCAGGCAAUCAUAGAUGCAGUUCUAUCCAAUGGAGCUCGGGGCAACUGCUGCAGGCAGAGGCCACUG
ensembl:lncRNA